rnacentral:rRNA from 1 species
UACCCUUGACAUGCCACUAACGAAGCAGAGAUGCAUUAGGUGCUCGAAAGAGAAAGUGGACACAGGUGCUGCAUGGCUGUCGUCAGCUCGUGUCGUGAGAUGUUGGGUUAAGUCCCGCAACGAGCGCAACCCUUGUCUCUAGUUGCUACGAAAGGGCACUCUAGAGAGACUGCCGGUGACAAACCGGAGGAAGGUGGGGAUGACGUCAAGUCCUCAUGGCCCUUAG